rnacentral:rRNA from 1 species
AGUGGCGAACGGGUGAGUAACACGUGAGUAACCUGCCCUUGACUCUGGGAUAAGCCUGGGAAACUGGGUCUAAUACCGGAUACGACCAUCUGACGCAUGUCAUGGUGGUGGAAAGCUUUUGCGGUUUUGGAUGGACUCGCGGCCUAUCAGCUUGUUGGUGGGGUAAUGGCCUACCAAGGCGACGACGGGUAGCCGGCCUGAGAGGGUGACCGGCCACACUGGGACUGAGACACGGCCCAGACUCCUACGGGAGGCAGCAGUGGGGAAUAUUGCACAAUGGGCGAAAGCCUGAUGCAGCGACGCCGCGUGAGGGAUGACGGCCUUCGGGUUGUAAACCUCUUUCAGUAGGGAAGAAGCGAAAGUGACGGUACCUGCAGAAGAAGCGCCGGCUAACUACGUGCCAGCAGCCGCGGUAAUACGUAGGGCGCAAGCGUUAUCCGGAAUUAUUGGGCGUAAAGAGCUCGUAGGCGGUUUGUCGCGUCUGCUGUGAAAGACCGGGGCUCAACUCCGGUUCUGCAGUGGGUACGGGCAGACUAGAGUGCAGUAGGGGAGACUGGAAUUCCUGGUGUAGCGGUGAAAUGCGCAGAUAUCAGGAGGAACACCGAUGGCGAAGGCAGGUCUCUGGGCUGUAACUGACGCUGAGGAGCGAAAGCAUGGGGAGCGAACAGGAUUAGAUACCCUGGUAGUCCAUGCCGUAAACGUUGGGCACUAGGUGUGGGGGACAUUCCACGUUUUCCGCGCCGUAGCUAACGCAUUAAGUGCCCCGCCUGGGGAGUACGGCCGCAAGGCUAAAACUCAAAGGAAUUGACGGGGGCCCGCACAAGCGGCGGAGCAUGCGGAUUAAUUCGAUGCAACGCGAAGAACCUUACCAAGGCUUGACAUGAACCGGAAAGACCUGGAAACAGGUGCCCCGCUUGCGGUCGGUUUACAGGUGGUGCAUGGUUGUCGUCAGCUCGUGUCGUGAGAUGUUGGGUUAAGUCCCGCAACGAGCGCAACCCUCGUUCUAUGUUGCCAGCGCGUUAUGGCGGGGACUCAUAGGAGACUGCCGGGGUCAACUCGGAGGAAGGUGGGGACGACGUCAAAUCAUCAUGCCCCUUAUGUCUUGGGCUUCACGCAUGCUACAAUGGCCGGUACAAAGGGUUGCGAUACUGUGAGGUGGAGCUAAUCCCAAAAAGCCGGUCUCAGUUCGGAUUGGGGUCUGCAACUCGACCCCAUGAAGUCGGAGUCGCUAGUAAUCGCAGAUCAGCAACGCUGCGGUGAAUACGUUCCCGGGCCUUGUACACACCGCCCGUCAAGUCACGAAAGUUGGUAACACC